GGAGGAAGCUUGCUUUCUCCUGCCGGCGACCGGCGCACGGGUGAGUAACACGUAUGCAACCUGGCCGUCACAGGUGGAUAACCGGAAGAAAUUCCGACUAAUACAGCAUAACACUCCUGAGGGACAUCCUUCGGGGGUCAAAGGAGGCGACUCCGGUGACGGAUGGGCAUGCGGCGCAUUAGGUAGUUGGUAGGGUAACGGCCUACCAAGCCGACGAUGCGUAGGGGUUCUGAGAGGAAGGUCCCCCACAUUGGAACUGAGACACGGUCCAAACUCCUACGGGAGGCAGCAGUGAGGAAUAUUGGUCAAUGGCCGGAAGGCUGAACCAGCCAAGUCGCGUGAGGGAAUAAGGCCCUAUGGGUCGUAAACCUCUUUUGUCAGGGAGCAAAGGCGUCCACGAGUGGACGAAAGGAGAGUACCCGAAGAAAAAGCAUCGGCUAACUCCGUGCCAGCAGCCGCGGUAAUACGGAGGAUGCGAGCGUUAUCCGGAUUUAUUGGGUUUAAAGGGUGCGCAGGCGGAGGUGCAAGUCAGCGGUCAAAUUGCGGGGCUCAACCCCGUACUGCCGUUGAAACUGCAUCCCUUGAGUGCGCGAGAAGUAUGCGGAAUGCGUGGUGUAGCGGUGAAAUGCAUAGAUAUCACGCAGAACUCCGAUUGCGAAGGCAGCAUACCGGCGCGCAACUGACGCUCAUGCACGAAAGCGUGGGUAUCGAACAGGCUUAGAUACCCUGGUAGUCCACGCAGUAAACGAUGAAUGCUCACUGUCCGGU
rnacentral:rRNA from 1 species